CGCUUAAAGCGCAUCAUGGGGCCCCCUAAAGCGUGCUUUAAAACAGGGUUGGUUCAACUGUCUACUAACGCAACCAAAAGUAACAGUAGUUUCAGAACUUAUGACCAUCCUGUAACCUGUCCUUGCUCACGAAAUAAAAUACUCUGGUCAUUAGUCGCAGAUCAAUAUUAAUGACUUUAUCGCGGGAGCUUGUCUUCUCUGAACUUCAAAGGAACGUGGUCAACAAUGGCGCAUUUUUGCAAGUUAGAGUGCUGAAAACCUGUAAGACAAUAAACAAGCAAAGGUUAAACAACCAAAGAGCAAUUAAAAUCAAGUAAACAUUUAUUUAUAAAAGGCGUUCCCCGGUGCUCGU